rfam:Ixodes scapularis strain Wikel colony gcontig_1108379777434, whole genome shotgun sequence.
UCCUGGUUAGCUAAGUUUGUAGAGCGCUCCGCUGGAAAUGGAGGAGUCUCUGGUUCGAUACCAGAACCAGGUA